rnacentral:rRNA from 1 species
AUUGAACGCUGGCGGCAUGCCUUACACAUGCAAGUCGAACGGUAACAGGUCUUUCGGGAUGCUGACGAGUGGCGAACGGGUGAGUAAUACAUCGGAACGUGCCUAGUAGUGGGGGAUAACUACUCGAAAGAGUGGCUAAUACCGCAUGAGAUCUAUGGAUGAAAGCAGGGGACCUUCGGGCCUUGUGCUACUAGAGCGGCCGAUGGCAGAUUAGGUAGUUGGUGGGAUAAAAGCUUACCAAGCCUACGAUCUGUAGCUGGUCUGAGAGGACGAUCAGCCACACUGGGACUGAGACACGGCCCAGACUCCUACGGGAGGCAGCAGUGGGGAAUUUUGGACAAUGGGGGAAACCCUGAUCCAGCAAUGCCGCGUGCAGGAUGAAGGCCUUCGGGUUGUAAACUGCUUUUGUACGGAACGAAAAGUCUUGGGUUAAUA